AUUGAACGCUGGCGGAAUGCUUUACACAUGCAAGUCGAACGGUAGAGGGGGCAACCCCUCGAGAGUGGCGAACGGGUGAGUAAUAUAUCGGAACGUGCCCAGUCGUGGGGGAUAACGUAGCGAAAGUUACGCUAAUACCGCAUACGAUCUACGGAUGAAAGCGGGGGAUCGCAAGACCUCGCGCGAUUGGAGCGGCCGAUAUCAGAUUAGGUAGUUGGUGGGGUAAAGGCCCACCAAGCCAACGAUCUGUAGCUGGUCUGAGAGGACGACCAGCCACACUGGAACUGAGACACGGUCCAGACUCCUACGGGAGGCAGCAGUGGGGAAUUUUGGACAAUGGGCGAAAGCCUGAUCCAGCCAUUCCGCGUGCAGGAUGAAGGCCCUCGGGUUGUAAACUGCUUUUGUACAGAAUGAAAAGGUUUCUACUAAUACUAGGAGCUCAUGACGGUACUGUAAGAAUAAGCACCGGCUAACUACGUGCCAGCAGCCGCAGUAA
rnacentral:rRNA from 1 species